GAUGAACGCUAGCGGCAGGCCUAACACAUGCAAGUCGAGGGGUAUGGCAGCAAUGCCAGAGACCGGCGCACGGGUGCGUAACGCGUAUGCAACCUACCUUUUACAGGGGAAUAGCCCAGAGAAAUUUGGAUUAAUGCCCCAUGGUAUAUCGAGAUGGCAUCAUCAUGAUAUUAAAGUUCCAACGGUAAAAGAUGGGCAUGCGUCCUAUUAGCUGGAUGGUAAGGUAACGGCUUACCAUGGCUACGAUAGGUAGGGGUCCUGAGAGGGAGAUCCCCCACACUGGUACUGAGACACGGACCAGACUCCUACGGGAGGCAGCAGUGAGGAAUAUUGGACAAUGGGCGCAAGCCUGAUCCAGCCAUGCCGCGUGCAGGAAGACGGUCCUAUGGAUUGUAAACUGCUUUUGUACGGGAAGAAACACUCCUACGUGUAGGAGCUUGACGGUACCGUAAGAAUAAGGAUCGGCUAACUCCGUGCCAGCCGCCGCAGUAAGAC
rnacentral:rRNA from 1 species